rnacentral:tRNA from 1 species
GCCUGGCUGGCUCAGUCAGCAGAGCAUGGGACUCUUGAUCUCAGGGCUGUGAGUUUGAGUCCCACGUUGGGUU